rnacentral:misc_RNA from 1 species
CCGAGUUUACAACUCCCAAACCCCUGUGAACAUACCACUUGUUGCCUCGGCGGAUCAGCCCGCUCCCGGUAAAACGGGACGGCCCGCCAGAGGACCCCUAAACUCUGUUUCUAUAUGUAACUUCAGAGUAAAACCAUAAAUAAAUCA